rnacentral:tRNA from 2 species
GCCCAGAUGGCGGAAUGGCAGACGCGCUAGGUUUAGGACCUAGUACCAGUAAUGGUGUGGGAGUUCAACUCUCCCUCUGGGCA